UUUUAUGGAGAGUUUGAUCCUGGCUCAGGAUGAACGCUGGCGGCGUGCCUAAUACAUGCAAGUCGAGCGAACGGACGAGAAGCUUGCUUCUCUGAUGUUAGCGGCGGACGGGUGAGUAACACGUGGAUAACCUACCUAUAAGACUGGGAUAACUUCGGGAAACCGGAGCUAAUACCGGAUAAUAUUUUGAACCGCAUGGUUCAAAAGUGAAAGACGGUCUUGCUGUCACUUAUAGAUGGAUCCGCGCUGCAUUAGCUAGUUGGUAAGGUAACGGCUUAC
rnacentral:rRNA from 1 species